CGGCUGUUGCCUGGUUUGGUGUGAUGAUCGUUGUUUCGAAAAUGUCUCAGGACGACGGGUGUCAUCGCUGCGACGGAGAAUCUCAAAGUGCUGAAACAAGACGACAGAGGACAGCGCUGACUCACAGAGGAUCUCCAGGAUGUUCUUAUCGCCGUCCGUCCUCAUCUUCCAUCUGACGGAGCGUCUGGACAAAAGCUAAUAACAGCACUCGCACCACAACGUUCUGCCGUAUCCUUGCGGAUGCAGCUGCAGGCCGAUCCCACACCUGCCCCUGACCUCUGAACCAGGAAGUGGAAGUUCCUCCUCCUCUUGUCUGACCCUGACUGGGAGUGUUGUAGGAGUCCCCGUCAGGACCCCUAGGCUUCCCUGUGCCUGCCUGCCAAAAACGUCUGCAUCUCCUGGACCCCCUCGAGGCAGAGGACAGCCAAAUGUCACUUGGAGCCUCUACAGAGUGGU